rnacentral:misc_RNA from 1 species
UCUCCGUUGGUGAACCAGCGGAGGGAUCAUUACCGAGUCUACAACUCCCAAACCCCUGUGAACAUACCAUUUGUUGCUUCGGCGGUGCCUGCUUCGGCAGCCCGCCAGAGGACCCAAACCCUUGAUUUUAUACUGUAUCUUCUGAGUAAAUGAUUAAAUAAAUCAAAACUUUCAACAACGGAUCUCUUGGUUCUG